GCUGGCGGCAGGCCUAACACAUGCAAGUCGAGCGGAAACGACUUAACUGACCUUCGGGGAACGUUAAGGGCGUCGAGCGGCGGGACGGGUGAGUAAUGCCUGGGAAAUUGCCCUAUGUGGGGGAUAACCAUUGGAAACGGAUGGCUAAUACCGCAUAAUGCCUUUCGGGCCAAAGAGGGGGACCUUCGGGCCUCUCGCGUCAGGAUAUGCCCAGGUGGGAUUAGCUAGUUGGUGAGGUAAGGGCUCACCAAGGCGACGAUCCCUAGCUGGUCUGAGAGGAUGAUCAGCCACACUGGAACUGAGACACGGUCCAGACUCCUACGGGAGGCAGCAGUGGGGAAUAUUGCACAAUGGGCGCAAGCCUGAUGCAGCCAUGCCGCGUGUAUGAAGAAGGCCUUCGGGUUGUAAAGUACUUUCAGUCGUGAGGAAGGUAGUGUUAGUUAAUAGCUGCACUAUUUGACGUUAGCGACAGAAGAAGCACCGGCUAACUCCGUG
rnacentral:rRNA from 1 species